UUGCAUCACUGUAAACCACAUGAAGUCCCGCCCACAGAUUUUCUGACGAAUCCAGGUGGUGCGUGCCAAAAGGGGCGGUCUUGCUCGUUUCCCGCGUGAAGUUACUGCAUUUCCCUCCAAAACUGUAGAGGCCUAUAAAAACAGCUGACAGAUCUUCACUCUGUUUGGAGCUGCUCUUCUCUGAGGACACCAACACGGUGAACAGUGGGACUUGUCUUCAGCUUCAGGUGGAACAGCUCUGACCUGUGUGGGGAUCUGUGUGGAGAGGAGAGACACCUGGUCCAACAAGGUGAUGGACGGUUGAAAGGACGAAUCACCGAGA
rnacentral:lncRNA from 1 species